rnacentral:rRNA from 1 species
GAUGAACGCUGGCGGCGUGCCCAAUACAUGCAAGUCGAGCGAGCGGAACUAACAGAUUUACUUCGGUAAUGACGUUAGGAAAGCGAGCGGCGGAUGGGUGAGUAACACGCGGGGAACCUGCCCCAUAGUCUGGGAUACCACUUGGAAACAGGUGCUAAUACCGGAUAAGAAAGCAGAUCGCAUGAUCAGCUUUUAAAAGGCGGCGUAAGCUGUCGCUAUGGGAUGGCCCCGCGGUGCAUUAGCUAGUUGGUAAGGUAAAGGCUUACCAAGGCGAUGAUGCAUAGCCGAGUUGAGAGACUGAUCGGCCACAUUGGGACUGAGACACGGCCCAAACUCCUACGGGAGGCAGCAGUAGGGAAUCUUCCACAAUGGACGCAAGUCUGAUGGAGCAACGCCGCGUGAGUGAAGAAGGUUUUCGGAUCGUAAAGCUCUGUUGUUGGUGAAGAAGGAUAGAGGUAGUAACUGGCCUUUAUUUGACGGUAAUCAACCAGAAAGUCACGGCUAACUACGUGCCAGCAGCCGCGGUAAUACGUAGGUGGCAAGCGUUGUCCGGAUUUAUUGGGCGUAAAGCGAGCGCAGGCGGAAGAAUAAGUCUGAUGUGAAAGCCCUCGGCUUAACCGAGGAACUGCAUCGGAAACUGUUUUUCUUGAGUGCAGAAGAGGAGAGUGGAACUCCAUGUGUAGCGGUGGAAUGCGUAGAUAUAUGGAAGAACACCAGUGGCGAAGGCGGCUCUCUGGUCUGCAACUGACGCUGAGGCUCGAAAGCAUGGGUAGCGAACAGG